AUUGAACGCUGGCGGCAGGCCUAACACAUGCAAGUCGAGCGAGCGGCGGACGGGUGAGUAAUGUCUGGGAAACUGCCUGAUGGAGGGGGAUAACUACUGUAAACGGUAGCUAAUACCGCAUACCAUCAGAUGUGCCCAGAUGGGAUUAGCUAGAAGGUGGGGUAACGGCUCACCUAGGCGACGAUCCCUAGCUGGUCUGAGAGGAUGACCAGGCACACUGGAACUGAGACACGGGCCAGACUCCUACGGGAGGCAGCAGUGGGGAAUAUUGGACAAUGGGCGCAAUCCUGAUGCAGCCAUGCCGCGUGUGUGAAGAAGGCCUUCGGGUUGUAAAGCACUUUCAGCGGGGAGGCGUUACCCGCAGAAGAAGCACCGGCUAACUCCGUGCCAGCAGCCGCGGUAAUUC
rnacentral:rRNA from 1 species